rnacentral:lncRNA from 1 species
AAAUAUAUAUAUAUAUAUAUAUAUAUAGAUUUUUUUAAUAGCAGUUCAAAUAAAAUUAUGUUUGUUUAUGCCAAAUAUUGCUUAAAUAAUUCAUAUAUAAUUAUGCAUGUAUGUAUACAUAUACAUAACACAUGUAUAUUUAUGUGAGCCCAUUUUACGUUUUUGUCAUUGAUCACCGUUUUUUUGUUUUUUUUUGUUUUUGCCACAUUUUUUAAAGUUUUUUAUUUUGUUUGGAUAUAUUGUUUUAUUAAUUAUUAAUUUUUUUUUGCUCUUAUUCAAGGUAUAAUUUGUUUGAACGUAUGUACAUAGAUAUACUUACAAAAUUAUACGUUUAUUCGACACGUUUUUCAAAUUCAUAUAUUUCAGUUAAUAGUUCAUAAAUACGUUGCACUUGUGGUUUGAUUGGGUAUUAAAAUUUUUUAUUAUCUUUAUAUUUUUUACAUAAUUAAAAAAACUAGAAAAAAAAAUUAAUUAGAUACGACACUAUUCAUAUUAUAUAUAUAUAUAUAUAUAUAUAUAUAUAUACCUACAUAUGUGUAUGCGUGCUUAUACUUAUACGUGUCACGUACAACAUUAAAAAUAAAGAAAUGUAAAUAAAAAAUUACAUUUUUGUUUUGUUUGUUUAGGUUUUUUAUUUUGCCCUAUAUUUUUUUACCUUUGUUUGUUUGCCCUAUUUUUUUUUACCUUUGUUUGUUUGCCCUAUUUUUUUUUACCUUUGUUUGCCCUAUAUUUUUUUACCUUUGUUUGUUUGCCCUAUAUUUUUUUACCUUUGUUUGUUUGCCCUAUAUUUUUUUACCUUUGUUUGUUUGCCCUAUUUUUUUUUACAUUUGUUUGUUUGCCCUAUUUUUUUUUACAUUUGUUUGUUUGCUCUAUUUUUCUUUUUUUUGACCUAUUAUUGUUUUUUUGCCUUUUCGUGUGCAUUGAAUUGUAUCCGACUUAAUCCUUCAUAUAUAUGCACUUGUUUCCCUAUCACCUUAUAACCAACACAUAAUUUUAAUGUAACUUACCAAAAAAAAAAAAAAAAAAAAAAAAAAAAAAAAAAAAAAAAAAAAAAAACAAAAAAAAAAAAAAUGGAUCUAAAAGGU